rnacentral:lncRNA from 1 species
UCUCAGCAAUCAAGCCAAGGCCAAAACUUCCCACUCCAAGAUCGAGUAGCCAUCGUUACCGGCUCUUCUCGCGGCAUCGGCAAAGCCAUCGCUCUUCAUUUAGCAUCUAUGGGUGCUAAGCUCGUCAUCAACUAUUCCUCCAACUCCACAAAAGCCGACGACGUCAUAUCCCAAAUCAAUUCCACCUCCAAUUCCUCCCCGCGUGCUAUCGCCGUCAAAGCCGACAUCUCUGACCCAGAUCAAGUCAAAUCCCUCUUCGACGCUGCAGAAUCGGCUUUUCAAUCGCCGGUCAACAUACCCAUCAAUCACAAACACAACCUUGGAG